ensembl:lncRNA
GUAUUAAGAAGUAGACAGUAAAUAUGUAGCUACAUUUAUUACACAAAUUAAAAACAGCAAAGGCAUCACGUUCAUGAUAUCGACACGUGUCACGAGGUCACCACCACAUCGGUUCAACAGACUGUAGUAUUAGUCAAUAGGGCCGGGUAGGUAACCAUCGGUUACAGAGACCAUCAGUAGAAAGGGUUUGUUGUCCAUUUCAUCAUGUUAAAAAUAAAAUUAAAAAAUAUAUUUAAAAAAAGGGGGCAUUCUGCUAUUAGUAAAGUGGUUUUUUUUGUAUGAACUACAGAUUGCCCCUUUAAGCAUGCCCCCAACAAACAGGAAGCGCUAACACACAAGGAGCUAGUCAGCUAUCCUACCCGACAACAGCCGGCGAUGUCCAAUCAAAUAAAAGCAUAGAAACUCAUCAGUCCUUUUUUUUUUUUUUUUUUUUUUUAGCGAGAAGAGAAGUUGUAGACGACACCUUUGGUAAAUAUGAAGAAACAGGCCCGUUUUAUGUAAUCCAUCUGAUAUCAGAAAGGUAAAGAAUAACAAACAUUUAUUCUGUAACACUGUAAUUAUUAUGCAACAUGUCAAGUUAAAAAGAGUACGUGAAAUGAAUGCCGUUGAAUAUAUUAGCCUCCCAAAUGGCACCCUAUUCCCUAUUUAAUGCACUACUUUAGGACCAAAAAGCACUGGGCUCUGGUCUAAAGUAGUGUUGCACUAUAUAGGGAAUAGGGUGCUAUUUGGGAUGCAGAAUAAGCCACAGAGGUACAGUCAGCAUUGGGGAUCCUGGAGUUGCUAUAGUAGAAUACAUGAAACGCCUCGUCCACUAGUCGAUGAGAUUACAUUCUGAAGAUGAUCGGUGAACUAACUCCACGUUGGUCCACGUUGGAGCUCUUGGAUCGUCCAGUUGGUUGUAGAAAUAACAGUCUUGGUACGUAAAGAGGCGAUGGAGGAAAAGGCAGGUUUGAGUCGGGUUCUAUCUCAGUUCAUCAUCACGUUCUUCACAACCAUAUUGGAGGAGAAGGUCGUCGUCGUCCCC